AUUGAACGCUGGCGGCAGGCCUAACACAUGCAAGUCGAACGAGUGGCGGACGGGUGAGUAAUGUCUGGGACACUGCCUGAUGGCGGGGGAUAACUACUGGAAACGGUAGCUAAUACCGCAUACCAUCCGCUUUGCCCAGAUGGGAUUCGCUGGUUGGUGGGGUAACGGCUCACAAGGGCGACGAUCCCUAGUUGGUCUGAGGGGAGGACCAGACACACUGUAACUGAGACACGGUCCAGACUCCUACGGGAGGCAGCAGUGGGGAAUAUUGCAAAAGGGGUGCAAGCCUGAUGCAGCCAUGCGGGGUGUAUGAAGAAGGCCUUCGGGUUGUAAGUACUUUCAGCGGGGAGGCGUUACCCGCAGAAGAAGCACCGGCUAACUCCGUGCCAGCAGCCGCGGUAAUUC
rnacentral:rRNA from 1 species